rnacentral:rRNA from 1 species
AGGACGAACGCUGGCGGCGUGCUUAACACAUGCAAGUCGAACGGAAAGGCCCUUCGGGGUACUCGAGUGGCGAACGGGUGAGUAACACGUGGGUGAUCUGCCCUGCACUUUGGGAUAAGCCUGGGAAACUGGGUCUAAUACCGAAUAUGAUCAUGCACCUCAUGGUGUGUGGUGGUAAAGCUUUUGCGGUGUGGGACUGGGCCCGCGGCCUAUCAGCUUGGUUGGUGGGUAAUGGCCUACCAAGGCGACG